rnacentral:ncRNA from 1 species
GUUUGGGGUGCCCUCACUUGGGGCUGAGAUCAUACCCACUGAAUCUGAUCCGGGUAAUUCCGGCGUAGAGAACAAAAAACU